UUUCGAGUUAACAAUUAACAUCAUAUCAUGGUGUAAAAGGGGUACCCUUGUACACCAUGGUUCAAAUUCCAAUUUCCAAAUCUCGACUUGUCAAGUUCUCAUCUUCUUAAUCCCCACUUUCCACAAAAUUUUAAAGAAAUUCCACAGAAUAUUUACACACAAAAAAAACAAAAAAACAUUUAAUUUUGAAAAAGAUUUAUUUAAGGAACGGGAAUCCAGUAUCCUUUAUCGUAACUGAUGUGCGGCCUAACUUAACGACGUUUUCCAAGAAAGGGUUUAGUGGGUAAGAUAGAAUUCCACUGUCCAUGGAAUCAUUAAAAAACUUGAUGAGAUUUUCCGAUCGGAAGGUGACUUUGAGAUCACAAUGAAGUUUUGAGAUCGCACCUGUACCAGUAAACUUGGAUGACGACUUCCACACAUAGAGAAAAAAGGCUUAUCUUCAUCUUUAAUUUGAACUUCUUUUUCAUCUGUAAUUAAACCAUCACAGUUUUCUAGGUACUCAACAAUUUACUUGCUCAAUCAGUAAAUCACCUGACGAGGAAUCUCCACUCAUUUCGAUAUCGGAGUCGAUGGGAUGUUUAUCUUGAACAGGUCUUCUGCACAGCUUUCCCUUAUGCAAUUUGUUCAAAUGCAGUUGCCGUAAUGACCUGAAGUCUUUACCUUCAAGGGGUAGCUGUUUUAACUGGGUCCCACCAUAAACUUGGAUCAAUAUGUUGGAGAUAACUUCAGGAAUCAUUUUUUUUGUGCUGUAUAAAAUGGUCUCAUUUGGAAAAACCACAAAGUAAAAUGUGGGUUUCAUUCUAGAAUGAGAAAGUUUUUCUUUUGCAGUUAACAUGCUUGUGUAUGUAAUACUGCAAAACACUGCACCAUCACUGGCUUGGCAGACUACACACUGAAAAUUGGACAUGA